rnacentral:rRNA from 1 species
CCUACGGGAGGCAGCAGUCGAGAAUCAUUCACAAUGGGGGAAACCCUGAUGGUGCGACGCCGCGUGGGGGAAUGAAGGUCUUCGGAUUGUAAACCCCUGUCAUGUGGGAGCAAAUGAAAAAGAUAGUACCACAAGAGGAAGAGACGGCUAACUCUGUGCCAGCAGCCUCGGUAAUACAGAGGUCUCAAGCGGUGUUCGGAAUCACUGGGCGUAAAGCGUGCGUAGGCUGUUUCGUAAGUCGUGUGUGAAAGGCGCGGGUCCAACCCGCGGACGGCACAUGAUACUGCGAGACUAGAGUACUGGAGGGGGAACCGGAAUUCUCGGUGGAGCAGUGAAAUGCGUAGAUAUCGAGAGGAACACUCGUGGCGAAGGCGGGUUCCUGGACAUUAACUGACGCUGAGGCACGAAGGCCAGGGGAGCGAAAGGGAUUAGAUACCCGUGUAGUC